UACGAAGGGUGCAAGCGUUACUCGGAAUUACUGGGCGUAAAGCGUGCGUAGGUGGUUCGUUAAGUCUGAUGUGAAAGCCCUGGGCUCAACCUGGGAAUGGCAUUGGAUACUGGCGACCUAGAGUGCGGUAGAGGGGUGUGGAAUUCCCGGUGUAGCAGUGAAAUGCGUAGAUAUCGGGAGGAACAUCUGUGGCGAAGGCGACACCCUGGACCAGCACUGACACUGAGGCACGAAAGCGUGGGGAGCAGACAGG
rnacentral:rRNA from 1 species